ensembl:misc_RNA Metazoa_SRP Metazoan signal recognition particle RNA
GGCGGCACGGCACACACAUAUAGUCCCAGCUACUCCGGAGCCUGAGGCAGGAGGAUCGAUUGAGUCCAGGAAUUCUGAACUAUAGUGCACUAUGAUGAUCGGGUGUCCACACUAAGUUUGGUAACAGUAUGGUGUCCCCUGGGAGCAUGGCACCACCAGGUUGCCUAAGGAGGGGCAAACCAGCCCAGGUCAGAAGCAGAAAAGGUCAAAACUCUCGUGGUGAUCAUUAAUGGGAUUAAACCUGUGAAUAGCUACUGCACUCCAACCUGGGCAACACAGCCAAGACACUACCUCU